rnacentral:rRNA from 1 species
GGGAAUAUUGGACAAUGGGCGCAAGCCUGAUCCAGCCAUGCCGCGUGUGUGAAGAAGGCCUUCGGGUUGUAAAGCACUUUUGUACGGGAAGAAAAGCAUCCGGUUAAUACCCGGGUGUCAUGACGGUACCGUAAGAAUAAGCACCGGCUAACUCCGUGCCAGCAGCCGCGGUAAUAAGGGGGGGGCAAGCGUUGUUCGGAUUUACUGGGCGUAAAGGGCGCGUAGGCGGUUCGUUAAGUCGGAUGUGAAAACUCUGGGCUCAACCCAGAGCCCGCAUCCGAUACUGACGGGCUAGAGUGCGAGAGGGGAAAGCGGAAUUCCUGGUGUAGCGGUGAAAUGCGUAGAUAUCAGGAGGAACACCGGCGGCGAAGGCGGCUUUCUGGAUCGCAACUGACGCUGAGGCGCGAAAGCUAGGGGAGCAAA